CCUAACUAUAUUAUAUACAAAACAUCCAAAACAAGCACUUUGUAAGAACACAAAAUCUGUUUUGCUAACUCAUCAAUCCACUGAGACGCCGUCGUCGUAACUACACAAUACCACUCUCAGCCCCUGCUCUUGAUGUUGAAACACCACGCAUUCUCACGUUAUCCACUAGGCCUUCAGAAACGUUAACAUUAACGGCAGAAACCACGCUAAAUUCAAAAGUAUCGAAAUACGCGGAGAAGCUAAAAAUCGCACGAAAAUUGGCUUUGAACAGAAAAGAAUUUGAUGAGUUUGAUGUUGGGAAUGGUAAUGGCAGAAGGCAAGGAAUUAGAACUAGAAGACGUAGGAUUGGGCUACGACAAAGAGACAGAGGUAGAGAUAGGAAUAGAGAUGAGGAUGGAGAGAGAGGCAGAGGUAGAGAUAGGAAUAGAGAUGAGGAUGGAGAGAGAGACAGAGUCACGACUCUAAGUACAUCUACAGAAGAAGAAAUAACAUCAGUGAAAAAAUGCGCCACAUAUGGUUUGAUAAUUGUCCCUGAUUACUUUUAUUACGUCGUGUUAAUGUACUUUGUAGGAACUGUUCUAAGGCUUUUUUAGAUAAUGGGUAUUUUAUGUACUUAUUUAAGAUUUUUACCAAGUUUUUUUUUGUAUCUCGUCUAAUAUCUAUUGAUAACGUAAUUUUAGAUGAGUGUUAGCUAUUGAGUAUCAUAAUUAAUUAAACAAUUUUGUCAUGUC